AGUAGAGACCUUCAGGCCAUCGCUAGCAGGGCGUCCUCCUCUCUUUCUCAGGGACAGGGUGGAUUAGCAAUGUGUGUUGUUUCUCAGUCUCAUGUACUGCCUUUCUCCUUUGAAUCUAGUAGGUUAGUAAGGUAUGGUGUUUAUCCUUUUAAAAUGAUGCGACUAUAGAAUACCCCCUCCUCUUCUUUUUAAUAAAUUGUUCAGGGAAAUACAUCCUAACCAUUUGAGUGUUGGCCUUUUUGUCCAGAUCCCUCUUUAUUCCAGCUUGCUACCUACACUGGAGAACUGGAUAGAGUGAUGUAAUAAAGGAUAGCUGCCCAUUUUGCCUCACUAGCUGCAGGGCCAGCGUUCAUGGGGUUUUCAAGCACAGGCACGCACAUACAGUCUUAGUUAAAUGCUCUUCCACUUUGUGGAAGGUUCUGUUGAUAAUCCAGCAUUUAAAAAGAAUGAGUUCUCAGAACUCUCUCUGGAGUGUGUGCAGGAUGGUGCUAUGAGAUAUCUAAUGGUAAAAAGCACACCAAAUACUUUGCAUAUAGUUGACAUGCACAGGUUUUCUUCUUGGCACUUACAUAUUGGGAUCUUGGAAAUACUAAGAGUUAGGGUUUCUCAUUUGUUCUAAAAGUAAGACGUUUUAUUUUUCUUUAUUGAAAUGAAUCUUAAUAACUGCUAAAUAAAGGACCUUAUUUACCUAAUAUUCUUGUGAUAUCAUGAUCCUUCUAACUGAUAUAGCUUUGUGUGAUGUGUGUUAAAUUUUCCAAUGAAGCUAUCUUUUUUCAGUCAGGCCGGGACCUUCAACAGUAUCAGAGUCAGGCUAAGCAACUCUUUCGAAAGUUGAAUGAGCAGUCCCCUACCCGAUGUACCUUGGAAGCAGGAGCCAUGACUUUUCAGUGAGUAUAGCUCUGAUUUUGUGUGUGUGUGUGUGUGUUCAUUUAAAUUUGUACUACAUUUAUGUAAUACCUUGUAAGAAUAUCACAGUAGGGGCUGGAAAGAUGGCUUACUUACUCUUCUUGUAGCGGACCUCCGGUUCAGUUCCCGGAACCUAUACAAUCACUUGUAUUUCUAGCUUUAAGGCAUCUGAUACCCUCUUCUAGCCUUCAAGGUUACCUCAACUCAUAAAUAUAACGCCCCUCCCAUAUAGACACAUAUACUCUAUUUUUAAAUGUGUGUUUAAAAAUAAAUGAACAUACCCAUAGUUUUUAAAUCCU
rnacentral:lncRNA from 1 species